GUUCAGACUAAAUCGAGCAAAAUAGUUUACCUGGAUCUUCAUCCUGACCUUAAACCUGAACAUUUACUACCUUCAUCUAUUGUGGAAGCCUGGAAAAUUUAGCCUGCAAGAAAGUAAGAGCUACUUCCUUCAAGCAAGCACCUGUGUACCCUCCACAGCUGCAAACCUCACCCGCACCUGCUACUCUUUUCAAAGGCAGAGGAGCAGGUCUGUGCUUGACUCCCUACACCCUCCUUUGGGAAAUGGGCCUGGGGAAGGGAAGACGGGGUGUGCGGACGUUAUUCUUCUUUUUAUUUGACAGGCAGAGUGAGAGAGAGACAGAGAGAAAUGUCUUCCUUCCGUUGGUUCACUGCCCUAAUGGCCGCUAUGGCCUGCGCAGAGCGAUCCCAAGCCAGGAGCCAGGUGCUUCCUGUUGGUCUCCCAUGCUGGUGCAGGGGCCCAAGCACUUAGGCCAUCCUCCAUUGCCCUCCCGGGCCACAGCCGAGAGCUAGCCUGGAAGAGGAGCAACCAGAACUACACCCCGGUGCUGCAAGCGGAGGAUUAAGCAAAUGAGCCACAGCGCGGCCCUUAGACUUUAUUCUAAGCACUGCCCUAAGGGCGCGCACGCGCACGCGCACGCGCACGCUGGCUUACCCCUUGUAACCUAAAAGUUGUUUGUAUCCCCACUGCAUCAAUACAAACUGGAUGCACUUAAAGUUCAGCAGAAGUCCGAUGCCAAACUGCCGCUAAACGGAGGAGCUGAAGUUCGAAAGAGAAGUUUGAGAAGGUAAUAAAUAAAUGAUUAACCUUGCUCCCCCCCAGGUGGUUGUAGCCUUCCGGCCGUGUGGGAAUUCUACUUAGGGUGUUGAGGGGACACUGGGAGAACUGGAUCUGCAGAGAGCGACUCUUUAAAUGAUACCAUUUAUUUUUAGCUUUGGCCUUUAUUAUAUUCUUUCCACUUACAGAUCUUCUUUGCAGAGUUCCAAGGAGGGAAACCAGAGGCUUCUUGGGUUGUACGUGGUUACCAAGAAUCUGCUAAUCUAUAACUGGCACUUGCUGAGGGGUCUUCCUGCAAGAAGGGGUCCCCUCUUCUGUCCACUGCCUCCCCAACAAAUCUUGGAGAAUCAAAUAGGGCUGUAUACAAUGAUCAUUCCCACCUGGUGUGCAGACCCCUAACUGGCCCAUCAGGAGCCACUGUGAUCUGAAGUGUGCCAGGAUUGGAUACUGAAUUAACUGAAAAGUUGGAAAUGUCAGACAGUUGUACACACAAAAGUGACAACAGGUAAGCAGGACAUGAGAAUCAAGAGUAAAUUUCUUUGGCCAAAGUACAUAAGGGAGAAUAAAAUGCUUCUAUUUGGUUCUCA
rnacentral:lncRNA from 1 species